GUCUUCUAUGACCAGGUCACAAAAGCCUUGGACACGGGUGUCGCGGGGGACGUAGUCUUCCUGGACUUUAGGAAGGCCUUCAACACUGUCUCUCACCCCAUCCUCAUUAAAAAAUUAGGCGUCUGUGGUGUCGACACCUACACAGUCAAAUGGAUCGCAAAUUGGCUGGAGGGCUACAGCCAGAAAGUGGUGGUGGACAGGUCAUUUUUGACCUGGAGGAAUGUGGGUAGUGGGGUUCCCCAGGGCUUGGUCCUUGGGCCUGCACUGUUCAAUAUCUUCAUCGGUGAUUUGGAUGGGGGGCGUGAAAAGCACCUUGUUCAAGUUCGCAGAUGACACUGAGAUGUGGAGAGAAGUGAGCACACUAGAAGAGAAGGACAGGCUACAACUAGAUCUCGACAGGUUACAGAGGUGGGCAGAUGAGAACAGGAUGGGUUUCAAUACGGACAAGUGCAAUGUGUUGCACCUGGGGAGGAAGAACCAGCAGCAUACCUACAGGCUAGGGAACUCCUUUCUCAUCAGCACAGAGGCAGAGAAGGAUCUUGGAAUCACUACUGAUUCCAAGAUGAACAUGGGCAGCCAAUGUGGGGACACAGUCAGGAAGGCUAAUUGCACCUUGUCAUGCAUCCAUAGAUGCAUCAUGAACAGGUCCAAGGAGGUGAUCCUCCCCCUCUAUGCGACAUUGGUCAGGCCGCAGUUGGAGUACUGUAUCCAGUUCUGGGUGCUGCACUUCAGGAGGGAUGUGGACAACAUGGAGAGGGUCCAGAGGAGAGCCAAUCGCAUGAUUAGGGGGCAACAUGACAGGCCCUACAAGGAGAGGCUAUGGGACCUGAACCUGUUCAGCCUCCACAGAAGAAGGCUGAGAGGGGAUCUGGUGGCCACCUAUAAACUUGCCAAGGGGGACCAGCAGGCAAUGGAAGAAUCCCUGUUCCCUCGACCACUACCUGGAGUAACAAGGAACAACAGCCAUAAGUUGACUGAGUAGAUUCAGGCUAGAUAUCAGGAGGCGCUACUUCACUGUUGGGGCGGCUAGUAUCUG
rnacentral:lncRNA from 1 species